UACGAAGGGGGCUAGCGUUGCUCGGAAUUACUGGGCGUAAAGCGCACGUAGGCGGUCUUUUAAGUCGGGGGUGAAAUCCUGGAGCUCAACUCCAGAACUGCCUUCGAUACUGGAAGACUUGAGUCCGGGAGAGGUGAGUGGAACUGCGAGUGUAAGAGGUGAAAUUCGUAGAUAUUCGCAAAGAACACCAGUGGCGAAGGCGGCUCACUGGCCCGGUACUGACGCUGAGGUGCGAA
rnacentral:rRNA from 1 species